rnacentral:rRNA from 1 species
CAGCAGCCACGGUAAUACGAAGGGGGCUAGCGUUGCUCGGAAUGACUGGGCGUAAAGGGCGCGUAGGCGGCUGACACAGUCAGAUGUGAAAUUCCUGGGCUCAACCUGGGGACUGCAUUUGAGACGUGUUGGCUUGAGUGGAGAAGAGGGUCGUGGAAUUUCCAGUGUAGCGGUGAGAUGCGUAGAUAUCGGAAGGAACACCUGUGGCGAAAGCGGCUCACUGGACAUUUACUGACGCUGAUGCACGAAAGCUAGGGGAGCAAACAGGAUUAGAUACCCCAGUAGUCCCUGUCUCUUAUAA